AUGGAAUUACCUUUUUGCUCACAUAAUCCCCUCUUACCUUUUUGCUCACCAAUUAAUCUCUCCACCGAGGCAGAGGAGGAUCUCCUGCUAGAGCUUGGCAGCACCGGAGGCGUUGUGAGGAGAUGCCAAGGUGCCGGUGGUGUGUGCGUUGCUGGUGGUGCUCCGCAAGGACGAGUGCCGAUCUGCACCCGAUGUUUGCUGGAAGAGCUUUGUACAGAACCGGAGAUUAGGAGGAAUGGACAUACAAGAAACAAUUCCGGAAGAUUCCCUAGGGAAGCAAAAAUUGUUUACUGGUCUGUGUAG
rnacentral:rRNA from 1 species